AUUGAACGCUGGCGGAAUGCUUUACACAUGCAAGUCGAGCGGCAGCGCGGGGGCAACCCUGGCGGCGAGCGGCGAACGGGUGAGUAACAUAUCGGAACGUACCCAGUCGUGGGGGAUAACUAUCCGAAAGGAUAGCUAAUACCGCAUACGUCCUGAGGGAGAAAGCGGGGGAUCGCAAGACCUCGCGCGAUUGGAGCGGCCGAUAUCGGAUUAGCUAGUUGGUGGGGUAAAGGCUCACCAAGGCGACGAUCCGUAGCGGGUCUGAGAGGACGACCCGCCACACUGGAACUGAGACACGGUCCAGACUCCUACGGGAGGCAGCAGUGGGGAAUUUUGGACAAUGGGGGCGAACCCUGAUCCAGCCAUUCCGCGUGAGUGAAGAAGGCCUCG
rnacentral:rRNA from 1 species